UACAGGGGGUGCAAACGUUGCUCGGAAUCAUUGGGCGUAAAGCGCACGUAGGCGGUUCGUUAUGUCGGAUGUGAAAGCCCUUGGCUUAACCGAGGAAGUGCAUCCGAAACUGGCGAGCUAGAGUACGAAAGAGGAUCGCGGAAUUCCCGGUGUAGAGGUGAAAUUCGUAGAUAUUCGGAAGAACACCAGUGGCGAAGGCGGCUCACUGGACUGGUAUUGACGCUGAGGUGCGAAAGCGUGGGGAGCAAACAGG
rnacentral:rRNA from 1 species